rnacentral:rRNA from 1 species
UCGAGCGGAUGAGUGGAGCUUGCUCCAUGAUUCAGCGGCGGACGGGUGAGUAAUGCCUAGGAAUCUGCCUGGUAGUGGGGGAUAACGUUUCGAAAGGAACGCUAAUACCGCAUACGUCCUACGGGAGAAAGUGGGGGAUCUUCGGACCUCACGCUAUCAGAUGAGCCUAGGUCGGAUUAGCUAGUUGGUGGGGUAAUGGCCCACCAAGGCGACGAUCCGUAACUGGUCUGAGAGGAUGAUCAGUCACACUGGAACUGAGACACGGUCCAGACUCCUACGGGAGGCAGCAGUGGGGAAUAUUGGACAAUGGGCGAAAGCCUGAUCCAGCCAUGCCGCGUGUGUGAAGAAGGUCUUCGGAUUGUAAAGCACUUUAAGUUGGGAGGAAGGGCAGUAAGUUAAUACCUUGCUGUUUUGACGUUACCAACAGAAUAAGCACCGGCUAACUUCGUGCCAGCAGCCGCGGUAAUACGAAGGGUGCAAGCGUUAAUCGGAAUUACUGGGCGUAAAGCGCGCGUAGGUGGUUCAGCAAGUUGGAUGUGAAAGCCCCGGGCUCAACCUGGGAAUUGCAUCCAAAACUACUGAGCUAGAGUACGGUAGAGGGUGGUGGAAUUUCCUGUGUAGCGGUGAAAUGCGUAGAUAUAGGAAGGAACACCAGUGGCGAAGGCGACCACCUGGACUGAUACUGACACUGAGGUGCGAAAGC